rnacentral:rRNA from 1 species
AUACGGAGGAUGCGAGCGUUAUCCGGAUUUAUUGGGUUUAAAGGGUGCGUAGGCGGUUUUUCAAGUCAGCGGUGAAACGCAAGGGCUCAACCCUUGACCUGCCGUUGAAACUGUUGGACUAGAAUGCGGAUGCUGUGGGAGGAAUGUGUGGUGUAGCGGUGAAAUGCAUAGAUAUCACACAGAACACCGAUUGCGAAGGCAUCUCACAAAUCCGUGAUUGACGCUGAGGCACGAAAGUGUGGGGAUCAAACAGGAUUAGAUACCCUGGUAGUCCACACUGUAAACGAUGAUAACUCGCUGUCGGCGAUACACAGUCGGUGGCCAAGCGAAAGCGAUAAGUUAUCCACCUGGGGAGUACGACCGCAAGGUUGAAACUUAAAUGAAUUGGCGGGG